AAGAAGUGCAAGUCGAAAAGCAUAUAUGCUAAACAUAAGCAUAAACCAACUUGUUCAUCAUUUCGUUCCCUAAUACUUUUAACCAAACCAAAAAUGAAUGUAUCGACAAAAUGUGGCUCAUUGCUCCUCCAGCAACAUUCAAUUAUUUCACAGCUGUAUCGAACCUAUAAAGACCACAAACGAUUUAGCAAGCCAAAAUUAGCCAGCAGCGACUUCACAAUUUGUCAUUAUGCUGGAGAAGUUCGAUAAUGGAGGCGCAAAACUUGGGGUUUCAUGGUGUCCUCCGGUGGUGGAGCCGAUUUGGACUAUGAGAUUUAACUGCAUAUGAUCAAUUACACGGUGGAGUUUAUUUUUUUCGUAGAGGUUGACAUCUAAUCUGGGUUUGUUCCCAAUUUCUCUUUCAGGUACUUGAUCACGUGUCUUCCCAACAUUUUUUUUUUUCAUCUUCAAGACUAGCUUCAUCAUUCCCUGUAACUCCAGAAACUCAACCUCCCUUUUCUCCAAUAGAAACAACACUAAUCUCAAAUUCAAGAGUUUCACAGACUGAGUAUUCUUUUUCUUGGACCCAGUAUUUUAAAUUUGGUUCAACAAAAGUUUCAACGUUGAUUGUGAUGAAAAUAAGGCCACAUGUUUGUUUUACUUAAAUAUAAGAGCAUUUUUUUUUAACAUUUACACUAAAAACAAAAAUAAAAUUACUAUAAAAAAUAAAUGACAAAUUAUAGUCUUUUUAUCCAGCAA